CAGAAGUCGCAUUCAUUUUUAAUAUUUUACACUUCUUAAAGAUGACUUUGUCGAUAAUAAAUACAGUGUGUAUAAAAAUGUAUAGAACUUGUAAUUAAAAGAACUGAGUUAAGGCACGACAAAUUUAAGGAGAUAAUAAGCAAAUUAAAUUAUUAGACAUGAGACAAUGGCCUCAGUCCAUUGUAAAAACCAUAUUGUCAAUCAAGAAAUUUAUGGACUACACUUACGACUUAAAGACGGUCGAGGGAACUCUUCAACGAUUCAUAGCAGAUAGUUUGUGUUUCAACUUCAUUAAUUUGUAUUGACAAAAACUUAACAAAUAGAUAGACGCUGACUGUCAUCUAUAGGGAUCUGAUGAUAAAGACGAAGGAGAGUGCAGGGAACUUCUUAACGGUGUAAAGUAUGUACCUUGUGUUUGGUCUUAAUUCAUUUAUAUGGAUGAGAACUUUGCACCUAUAUGAAUUGUAAUGAAGGUCUGCAGUAUAUCUGAUGAUUGAGACCAUUGCACGGUCUCCCAUUAUUUCAAUAAAGUAAAUUGUUAAAACCGGUCAAUGAUAAUGAUUCACAUAAUUCAAAGCUAGAUUUUACAACAGUUUUAAGGAAUCAAUAUAAAACAACAAGUUACGUUCGAGGUAAAUACAUCUCAUAGACGUACCUAGACUGGAAAUUUGACAUCUCUAUUCGAGCCGCAACAAAUUUUGUGUCGGAUUCAAAUCAUUUGUUUGGCAAUCCUGAUUUCAAAAAUUCUAUAUAUGGCUAUAGUUCGGGAAUGAUAUGCAAGAAUAUCUGGAGCUAAGGGCCCAGAAUCUAUAUCGUCUAAGUGACUUAGAAAACAUCUAGCAACAUUGUCUGAAAAUGAUAUGAAACAUUUGGCCAAAUUUAUGGGCCAUACAAGUGAUAUACAUUAAAAGGUCUACAGAAAACCUAAUGACGUGUAUUAGACUGCCAAGACCUCUGAUAAUUCUUUAUCUAAUGUGUCUUUCAAGCCACUUAAUAACAUAAGUUUAAAUGAAACUAGUAUUAUUCGGAUUUACUACGCGGAUUUUAUUAUUUAAAAAGUAAAUAAUCCCGACGUUUUUAAAUAAUAAAAUCCGCGUAGUAAAUCCGAAUAAUACUAGUUCCAUUUAAAUGAAUACUCGCGAAAAUCUUAGAUCUCAACAUAAGUUUAAUUGAAAUUAGUUGUAAAAGCAGUUCUCCUUGCAAUGUAAUCAUAAGUAGGUAAUUUCCACAGCCUUACAAUGAAUCAGAACCAAAUGAAGAGAUUAUUUACGAUAUUAAUAGUGACUCUCAAAAAUAAGAUAAUUCUAAUAAUAAUUCAACAAUUAUCCAAAGGCAAAUACCCAAAAGUAAAGUUUGAGAUAAAGAUUAUUGCUUUUACUAUGAGUUUUUUGUUUCAAACUUUGCUUGUCAUUUACUCCGACACCAUAUUUAUGAAACCGAAUUCCAAAAAAUUGUGUCUAAACCUAAUAAAAGUUUUGAUAGAAAACAAUUAAUAGCAGCUCUACGUAAAAAAAAUACCUUGUAAAUUCAAAAUAGGUCAAUAAACCGAUUUGAAAAUUCAAAUUUACUGAUUAUUUGCCGUGUACAGAGUAAAAAGAAAUGUAGUGGUAAAUCAGGAAGUGAAAACAUUCAAUUUGAGGCUCGAAAUUUACUAAUACGUUAUAUUAAAAUCGACGAAAAACUAAGGAUACUGUAUUUCCCCGAAUGCAGACAGACAAAAUAUCACUUAUUGCAAAAAAAGAUAACCAUUUAUCUAGCUGAAGUACUUGGAGGAAUCUGCUGGUGGUGGAUUCUUUAUCAUAUUGCAAACUGAGCCAGAACAUGUUUAUGGAGAAUAAAAAUGCAUAACCCCAGAUAUAUGGACGGAUGAAGAAUUGGGCAUUCCUCCUGAUUCUGCAGGGCCAUUGAAGAAGUAAAUUGGAAAUUUACUCUAAAUCAUAACUUAUGUGUAGGUUAUUGUUAAAAUAAAUGUUUUUAAAUUGAAUAUAAGGUUUUUUGGGAUA